GUCAAUACAAAGUCUCAGCAGUUGGAGCACUUACUGACAUAACUAAGACUAUUUUGGUGUCACUCAGCUCUUUAUUUUUUGACCUUUCAGCAAAUUUCUUUAUACGUGACUUUCAAUCUGUUUCUUGUUAAACACAGACCACCAGAUUCAAGUAAUGAACUGCUGACAGGGCACUAACCAUUAAAUCCUUUUUUUAAAGAGUGCAACAAUAAAGCUGAGCUUCCUUUGUUGCUGCCAGGUGCUCUCAGAGACAAACAGCCCGCAGAUGUAGCUGGUCUGAGCUCCGUGAGCUGUAAAAAGUAUUGCCAGCAGAAUAAAAUCAAACAAAAACAGUUUAUUGUCUUCAGCACAAGCUACAUGUAAUGUGGUUCAGCAUAAGUUACUAAGCUGACCUGCUGUAAAGAGACACUGAAAACUCUGUGUCCACAUAUCUGUCUCAGUCAGCGGCUUCUCUUUCUGUUAUUUAACCUGAGGAGGUUUAAAACAGAAGUUUUGUUUUCAGCACACCUGGCAGCAACAGAAGGAGCAGCACCUGACCCACAUAACAUGUAAAUUACUCUUUUUUUUUUUUCUUUUUUCUUUUUGCUAAUGCUUCGGGGUACUGUUCAUAUUUUAGAUCAGGAUCCAUUCUCAGAAAACCAAAAUGUUGUUCCAGUGAGUCUCAAGCUUUGUUCCAUUUAUUUGAGAGAAAAAAAUAAAAGCUUGUUGAUCAGUGUAAUCGGUCAAUCAGGAGGAGGAGAGAAGCAAUGGGCUGUAGUUUUUUUAGAAACCUCUCUGUGUGAUGAUUUUAAUCACGGCAUGAUGACAUUGCUAUGUCAGCCUUUCCUUUCUGGAACUUCUCAUUUCAGCCACACUCAUUUCUUUAACUCUGUACAGGAAACUUGUUUCAUGUCAGUACAAUCAGCUCUGCUGCUGCUCGGUGGUUUCCAUCCUCCUGUCCCAAAUGGCUUCUUUCAAAUUCUUCCUCUUUUUGUCUCUAAUCUCAGAGUUAACAGCUCUUCAGCAGGAUGUUCAGGUGAAGCUUGGAGAGGACGUCACUCUCCAGUGUCAGAUUUCCACAGAAGAAAUAAUCUCAGUGCUGAAGUGGAGCAGAGCUGACCUGAACACAGACGGCUACGUCUACUUCUACAGGAACAAACGCUCCUAUGAAAACUACCAACAUCCAUCUUUUCAUGGCCGAGUGAAGCUGAAGGACCCGGAGAUGAAGGAUGGAGACGUUUCUCUGAUCCUGAAGAAGGUCACGUUUAAUGACACUGGGAUGUAUGAGUGUCACGUAGCAGUGAGGAACCCUGGGAGAAGUAAAAGAGUUCACACUGAGAUCAGUCACUUCAUCAACCUCACAGUCACAGGUGAAACACAUGAAAGCGUGUCAGAGAAACGAGUCUUGGAAAGAGGAGACGCAGAUGAAAAUAUGGAUGAUACUGAAAGGGUCGGCGCUCCAUCUCUUCAGAGUGACCUCGUCGUUUCCUGGAUUCGUGGACCCACGCUGCAAAGUCUGUCGCGACAGCCUGUUUCUAGUGAAACAGUAAAGACCAACUACGUGAAUUCGCCGUUGGCCAGCGUUUUUAGCAAGAGGUCCACGAUCCCAGGGAGCGAGGAGGAUUCUCUCUGACCGGCAUUUUCAUCCGAACCAGUAUCUUGCAGGUUAAAGGCAGGUGAUUGGAUCCUGAUAAGGGUGCUCCAGAGGAAAAAAAAUGGGAGCUCACCCCGUUGGGAAGGACCCUACCAAGUACUCCUGACCACACCAACAGCCUGCAAAAUAGCAGAAAGACCAUCCUGGAUCCAUCAAAGCCACUGUAAAGGAGUAAGCGAGAGCAUAGACUAACCGGACACUGACUUCCUUACCCUCGGGUGAUUCGUCAGGUGAAGGAAGUGCCGAUUGGGUAUAUCCCGCACUUUUUCUUCUUGCCUAAGUCCCCUGAGACGUGAGGUAAGCCAGGUAAACAUGAAGUCGCUCUUAAUCUCACUAACUCUGACAGUCCUAGUGGCAGGAUGUCUCAUCCCACUGAAGAUGGAUCCGAGGGAACGAACAAAGAAAGCUUGGACACAUGACAACUCACACCUGGACAAGAUGACGCAGGACCACAAUCAUCCCUGGAUGAACAACGCGUGGUACAGAUAUGUAUACAACCGCACGACAGAAAAGAACUACUUUGUUUGCUCACACAUGCCUGCAACUUCUGUCCAUGCAAUUAUUUAUGGGAAGGUUCCGUCACUUGAAACGAGCAUGUGCAUUCACAUGAAAGUCGUAAAUGGAACUUGUUCACAUAGAGACAUGUUUAUAGUGAGAGCCCCAGCGUUUUCACUGUUGACCUACGACGUGAAUAACCUAACAGCUACAAACUGGACGUGUGACGAAGCACACUGGGUGAACGUGUCAAACAAAAGAAUAAUGACAUUUCCAGCUUUCUUGCAGAGUGAAGAACGUCACCCGAUAUGUUUCGACUUCUCAUACGGAAGGACAAAACUUGGUCAAACCAAGAACUGCAGUAUAGUCUGGAAGGACAAUGCCGAUGCAGCUAUGACUUUUAAGCGUGGCACAUACUGGGUCCAGGGGACAGCUUGGGUGUGUGGACAACGUGCCUACUUCAUACUGCCACCCGGAUGGACGGGCACCUGUGCCCUAAUCUUCAUUUCAGAUCACACCUUCAGGAUGUCAGCUGUAAAUAGCUCUCAGACUACAAGACGACGACGAGACGUCUCCGCAGUGCAACCAUAUGACCCCAUCUAUGGCAGUGAUGUGCCAGAGGAAUUUAAGCUUUGGACUGUUCCUGAAUGCCUCGUGCAAAAUCAACAAUCAACAAAAUGAAGAGAUUGAUGCCCUGCGCAUAACUGUGAUGCAACACCGAGUCGCACUGGACAUGAUUCUGGCUGAAAAAGGAGGACUCUGUAUACUCUUUAACAACACAUGCUGCACAUACAUUCCAGAUAAUGUACACUCAUCCAACAUGACUGAUGCAGCACAAGUAAUUUAUUGUAUGAGGGAAAAUUCUAUUUCUAAUAUAGUAAAUUGGGAGAUGCUUUCUGCUUGACUGAUGCUCUGAGCAUACUUAGACAACUCAGGGAUGCACAACAACAAGACUACGUCACAAAUACAGAAGACUGGCUCACGUGGUUGUUAAGCAGCUCUUGGAAAUCCCUGCUGUUUAAAGGACUUGUUUUAGUUGGUGUUCUACUAUUGUUAUUGUGUUUUUCCACUUCAUGCGUCAUACCUUGUUUGAAGAACAUGGUGUCAAAAAUGGUAACUGCUUCAAUUAAUGCUUACAUCACCCUACCACAGAAUGAAGAAGAUGAUAAUGAGAUAGACAUUUGGAUAUAACAUAUUCACAAAACCCACUAAUUAAUGAUGUCCUGGCUAAAAAUGUUUUACAAGUGGCCAUAGACUGAUACAGUGUUAGUGAGUUGCUAUGUAUAUAUAUAUAUAGGAGAAAAGUUAAAAUGUGUAAAACAAAUUAACAACAGGAGGGAUAUGUUAAGAGAUUUUCAAAUGUUUUAAGUAUUACUCCCACUUCCAUUUGUACGUUAUUGAAAGUUUAUCUUUAAUUUCAGUGUUAAUAGUUGUUUACCCAUUUAUUCUUUCCAUUUAAUCGUAUUUUAUGAUUUUACUGUUUCACUAGAAGUGAAGCUGAAGUAAAGACAAAAGCAUAGUGUUCUCAGAUAUGAUUUACCCAGUACAUUUCCUCUGCACCUGGCUCUCUACGAGCCGUUUCACUCCCAGGAAGGGGAGAGCAGGACGUUCUUAUCUACACUCCCAAAUACCAAGAGGGGCCUGUUCUUCAGAAUCACACACACAGACAGACACACACACACACACACAGAAAGCUGCAUAUAUGUGAUAUUUAGUGAUUAUCUACAGAACACACACACCCAGCUAAACUGGAACGAACCUGUUUCUCAGAGGCAAAUCUUUGUCUCCUCCUUAAACAGUUGAAGCCACUAUGUGACUAUAAAUAAAAUCUCUGCCUGCGCUUGGGGUGGGAUCUCCUCGAGAUCUCACCCAGCGUGCGCACGUUGUUACCAUCCAAACUGUUUUGAGUGUCUUUAUUUCGCCUGAAGAAUGUCUUGUUCAAAUAUUUACUCUUUACAUUAAUGUAGCAGAUUUUUGGAGUCUGUUUCUGAAUGUUUGCACAGAUUUGACUGACCUCAGGUCAGCAUGCAGCUUGUUCACAAGAAUGGGACCACGGUCACUGAAUGCACCUUCAGCACAUUUACAUCUAAUACUGGGAACAGUUAAAAAAUCCGAAGCCCUGACUGUAAAUCCAUUUAUAAACACACUGCAGGCCAUGAUUUCUAGUCUACUUCUCCUUUGUGGAUUGAGUCAGGAAGAAUUAACUUCUUUGUUUUCUUUUAUUUACUUUUAUUAAUGUGAAAUCAUUUAGGGAAAAAAAAGUUAUGCAGCAAUAGUUCAAUCAACAUCCAUAAUUAAGCACCAACCUUUAGUUUAAAAGGUUGCAGAGAUUUGAUUCAUUGUUUUCACACACAGAGUCGACACCUUUAUUCUUAUAUCAUCUUUGGGAUGUUCUGGAGAAGACUGCAGCUGUUUGAUUCUCCAGUUAUCAAUACUUUACAUAUAAUUACUGAAAUUUAUGCCUCAUCAAAUGUUUCCCUUCAUCAAAGUCAAAGGCAGUGUAUUGAAAGGUUGAAGGAAAGUGUGCAUGUCCAGAUUAUCCAGUUGCAUUAAUUUAUGCAAUUAUGCAUUAUGCAGCUGUUCCUGAUGUGCUGAUGGCAGCGUUACUACACAGAAGUUUAAAUCAGGAAGUUCAAAGCAUUUCUGCAUCAACAGGAACUGUCUGAAUGAUUAAACAUGUAAAUGUUUUGCAAAUAUGCAGCUCCUCUGUGAACUGUAAACAUUAAUGCACAUCAAUGAAAAAUACUGUUGAAAUUUAAAGUAUUUUUUUAAUAUCUUUGACUUUUAAAUGAAUCGAUUCAGGUUUAGUUAUCAGAGAGUUUGUGUUCUUUCUUUUACACUAAAGGAAUCCGGGUGAUUUUUAAUGAUAAUUUAUUUACUUGUAUCAAAGGUACCAUUGAAACAUUGUGUACAUGAUAGAUGUCCAACAUGUUGACAAUGAAAUGAAAGCAGCUGCUUUUAUGUCAUUAUUUUUUGGGUCCAGGCCAUUUAUGCACAGUUAACCAAAAUGAGCUCAACACCCCCAUCUUCAAUCACUUUGUGCUUAAAAAUCUUUUAAAUGUUUAAUAUUUAAAAGGGAUUGUUAAACCUCACUGUGAACAUGAUGUGAAAUAAACAAACCCUCUGUGGAGCCUAAACUGAGUAGAAAAAAAGUAUGUGUAUUUGUACACACUUUAAAAUGGUACUUAAAGUAAUUUUUCUUCCUCUGGUGGUCAUGAAUGAAACAAUCAGUGUUUUUUUGAACAGCUGUUAAUGUAAUGUUCCAGUUUGACCUCCGGGUGGCAGUGUUGUCUCACGUUGGCUAAGCAUACAGAAGAAUAUACUGUAAGAACAUGUGUUUAAACAUUAAAAAGUGAUUUUUUAAAAAACGAUUUUUUCCCUUCUUCCCCAGAUUCAACAAAAGGCACACCACUCAGAAUUCUUCUAAACAUUUGGAUAUUAAUAUUUGUCCCCCACACCACAAAGAAGACAUAUAAUCUUAAUUACAGAUCAGUGCAGAAGAAUUUAUCCACUGCAAUAUUUCAGUUUGACCUCAUAUGGCAGUGUGUUUUUUACGACCCAGACUAUAAAUAACAUCCAGCCAUCCAUUCGCUUCCAAUUAUCCUUUUCAGGGUCGCGGGGGGUGCUGAAGCCUAUCCCAGCUGUCAUGCAGUUUGUGGGGAUAGCUUAACUGAUUGGUCUAAAUUGCCCAUAGGUGUGAAUGCGGGAGUGAAUGUGAGUGCGAAUGGUUGUCUGUCUCUGUUAGCCCUGCGACAGACUGGGCAUUAACAGGGAAAGGGGGGCACAAAUAAAUACUUUUCUUUCUUAAUCUCAUUUAAAAUAUCUAGCUUUAAUAAAUAAUUAUCUGAAUCUUCAAACCAAAGUUUUUAUCUGACGUAAAAUGUAUAGAAAUCAUACAUAUACCAACAAGACAGUUGUCAUCACUGUCACAGCAGCGUUUGUUUUCAUUCAAAGGCUUUAUGGCUUUUCCUGUAAUACCUGGUGGGCUGGUCUGUAGUCAAAAUGCCUGGGCCGAUUUUUUGUCCCAGUCCAGCCCUGGUUGCAGUUCUAAUUCAGCCAUCCCACACCACACAGCACUGAGACACUUCUCUUUGACAAAAAACAAACAAAAUAAAACUAUCCUGUUGGCUCUCUUUCAUUUUAAAACCUCAUAUAUGGCAGAAUGGUCCAAAAGUUUAAUGUGAACAUUCUGCAAGAAGUACUGAGUUUCAGGCAUGGUACUUUGACACAGUACAUUUAUGUGUUUAGAAAUAAAAGCUGCACAUAAAUAACAAAGCGCUGCUUCUUUUUCUCCAGUUGUUUAAACUAUUUGUAGAGACAGAGAGAAUCAGUCUGAUCACUGGAACCAGUAACAAAUGUACUGAGCAACAUACUGACAUCACUGCUGAGCCAAGUUGACCAGGAUACAAACACGAUUAACACUAUAAUGAAUAGUUUAACACCGGUUUAAC
ensembl:lncRNA